AGGUGCACAGAGGACUGAUCCCCGGAGACCAGUCCCCAGCAGGCCAGCUGGGAAUGAAGAUGUUUAUAUGUGACGAGACUGAAGCUCGACUUGUCAUCUCUAAGUGCACGUAGCUGUGGAUUCCUAGAACUGGGCAGCCCUGCUCUACAGUGCGACAACAUGAAGGCCAGCAGUCAUUGGACAACAGGGAGAAAGGAGUUCAGCACCUGUGAAGCAAAGCCAAGAAGUGGCACCUGCAGGCUGGCAGAGCUAUCGCUGGUCCUGAAGCUGAGAGACAGGGUUCCCAGGAACAUCUUGACCGAGUUCCCCGCUUCCACGACACCACGGUGGCAGGUGCCGAACAUCUCCUGGUCACCUGUGAUGUAUCAAAUCCACAAAUAUCUCUGGAGAAACACCUCUGAAGGGCCAACAGGGAUAGUAGCAAGCAGCGGAAACUGUCCCUGAAGCCAAAUGGAGCCUUCCCUUGGUCACCGUGGCUUUUUGGAUCACCACAUUUUCCUAGUUUUUCUACAAAUCAAUUUUCUUCAAGGAGAAGCGUUUGAAUUUUUAGCUGGUACAAACAAACAAACAAACAAACAAACCAACCAACCAACCACCACCAGCCACUGCAGAGGCUACGGAAGCUCACUCAGUCUAAGGUAGCCAGCUUGUGCCUCCGGCGGCCCGGGAAGGUCACUAUGGGAUAGGAAAAGAGUUCACAAAAGUACCGCCUUGCUGCCCUGAGGUAGUAGGGGAGGGAUGAGGAAGAGAGGUCUUCAUAGAAGAGGAGGCCAGGGGUUGGAGAGAUGGCUCAGUGGUUAAGAGCACUGACUGCUCUUCCAAAGGUCUUGAGUUCAAAUCCCAGCCCAGCAACCACAUCGUGGCUUACAACCAUCUGUAAUGAGAUCUGAUGCCCUCUUCUGGUGUGUCUGAAGACAGCUGCAGUGUACUUACAUAAAAUAAUAAAUAAAUCUUAAAAAAAAAAAAAGAAGAAGAAGAGGCGGCCAUGUGUUGCCUGAAAGACC
rnacentral:lncRNA from 1 species